GGCUCGGUGGCGAACGGUCCGCGUCUGCAUUGAGUGGUUCUAUCCGGCAAUAUUCUACGGUCACGCAGAAGUUCCCUGUUCGACUCGGGGUCGAGCCA